rnacentral:rRNA from 1 species
AAUGAACGUUGGCGGCGUGGAUUAGGCAUGCAAGUCGAGCGCGAACCGUAGCAAUACGGGGAGAGCGGCGAAAGGGAGAGGAAUACGCGGGUACCUACCCCCGGAUUCAGGAUAGCCAUGGGAAACUAUGGGUAAUACUGGAUAACGUCUCCGGACCAAAGGUGUGAUUCCGUCCGGGGAGGGGCCCACGUCCUAUUAGCUUGUUGGCGAGGUAACGGCUCACCAAGGCGAAGAUGGGUACGGGAUGUGAGAGCAUGAUCCCGCUCACUGGGACUGAGACACUGCCCAGACACCUACGGGUGGCUG